GUAGGUGGCAAGCGUUGUCCGGAAUUAUUGGGCGUAAAGCGCGCGCAGGCGGUUCUUUAAGUCUGAUGUGAAAGCCACGGCUCAACCGUGGAGGGUCAUUGGAAACUGGAGAACUUGAGUACAGAAGAGGAAAGCGGAAUUCCACGUGUAGCGGUGAAAUGCGUAGAGAUGUGGAGGAACACCAGUGGCGAAGGCGGCUUUCUGGUCUGUAACUGACGCUGAGGCGCGAAAGCGUGGGGAGCAAACAGGAUUAGAUACCCUGGUAGUCCACGCCGUAAACGAUGAGUGCUAAGUGUUAGGGGGGUUUCCGCCCCCCUUAGUGCUGCAGCUAACGCAUUAAGCACUCCGCCUGGGAGUACGGCCGCAAGGCUG
rnacentral:rRNA from 1 species